UACGGGGGGGGCAAGCGUUGUUCGGAUUCAUUGGGCGUAAAGGGUGCGUAGGUGGCGCCGUAAGUCAGGUGUGAAAUUUCGGAGCUUAACUCCGAAACUGCAUUUGAUACUGCGGUGCUUGAGGACUGGAGAGGAGACUGGAAUUUACGGUGUAGCAGUGAAAUGCGUAGAGAUCGUAAGGAAGACCAGUGGCGAAGGCGGGUCUCUGGACAGUUCCUGACACUGAGGCACGAAGGCCAGGGGAGCAAACGGG
rnacentral:rRNA from 1 species